rnacentral:lncRNA from 1 species
GCACAUAAUGUUGAGAGUAUCGGGAACGACAAUGCUUGAUCUUCAUUCUUGCUAGAUUAGGCACAUUAUUGUGUAGCCAUAGGAUGGAGGUGAGUGUUGUGAAGUUUGAUUUGGAAGUAUGAGAAAGUUUAAGGAAAAGAGUGAACUCUUGUGUUUAAUUGACUAGUCUUUAUGGUAUAAGUAGAGAAACUUCUAGCUCGAUUUGUGAAAAGUCUUGGCCCCCAAACAAAAACAAAAAAAAAGAAAAAAAGGAAAGGGCGCUAGCAAAGUUGUUUAGAGCUAAGAUUUGGGUAGAAGUUAAGAAAAUCCUUUAUAGAUUUCAAAGAAAAAGAGUUUUAUGUGCAAAGUGUUCUUGGGAUCUUUUGGUGAGAGAUGGGAGUUGGGUUUGACAUUAUGAAGUGAUUGUGUAACUUGUAUGUUUGGGAAAAAGGUAGAACAAUGGAGAUUGAGCAUUGUAUGCAUGAGUUGGUCCUUUCUUAGAUAUAUUAUGUGCAAUGUCAAGGCUACUCGUUUUGAGAGUAAACCACUUUAAAAGAUCAUGGAUUUUGAACCUCGUGACCCACUUGAAUAAAAGCCUU